UGGGGAAUAUUGGACAAUGGGGGCAACCCUGAUCCAGCAAUGCCGCGUGUGUGAAGAAGGCCUUCGGGUUGUAAAGCACUUUAGGUUGGGAAGAAGAUAUGCUGUUUAAGAGAUGGCAUAUUUGACUGUACUAGCAGAAUAAGCACCGGCUAACUCUGUGCCAGCAGCCGCGGUAAUACAGAGGGUGCGAGCGUUAAUCGGAGUUACUGGGCGUAAAGGGCGCGUAGGCGGAUAAUUAAGUUAGAUGUAAAAACCCUGGGCUUAACCUAGGACUGUCAUCUAAUACUGGUUAUCUGGAGUACUGUAGAGGGUAGUGGAAUUUCCGGUGUAGCGGUGAAAUGCGUAGAGAUCGGAAGGAACACCAGUGGCGAAGGCGGCUACCUGGACAGAUACUGACGCUGAGGCGCGAGAGCGUGGGGAGCAAACAG
rnacentral:rRNA from 1 species